AGAAAUAGCGUACAGCCCUUGAGAGAUCGUUCAAAGCAACAAAAAGCUUAAUCACUACACGAUAAGCUGGAAGAUCAAAAAGGCAAUUUGAAGCCUCCAUUUCCCAUAGCAUGUCUAUUGCUUCCCUAUAUUUGUUCGCUGAAUAACGACAGUGAAUCAGAGUAGUAUACAUAACUACACUUGGAUUACCACCAGAUUUCCUGAACCAGUCAUAUAGUCCCUCCACGAUCUCAAAUCUUCCCAGCCUAAUGCAAAUCUUCAUGAUAGCGGUACAGUCCUGUGGUGUCAAAUUCAGAUCAUCUCUCACAGCAAGCUCCUCUAAUAAUACCAAAACAAGUGUGCUUUUAUCAGGAUCCUUACCAAGCUCUAAGAUUAGCUUAGCAUACACCCCAGUAUCAAGCACUCUGUUAGAUUCCUUAGCCAUUGAAAGUAGCUUCAAAGCAAGCUUCAGG
rnacentral:misc_RNA from 1 species